GCAGAGAACAGGCAGAGAACAGGCAGGGAACGGGCAGGGGACAGGCAGGGAGCAGGCAGGGGACAGGCAGGGAACAGACAGGGGACAAGCAGGACACCCCCAGUGCCUCCCUGCACACACAGCAGUCCCCCAAUCCCACCGGAGCCGCUUUGGGAUGCAGGAACACCCCAAAAGCCUCAGCAGAGUUGGGGGGCUCAGUGUGGGGACCGGGAUGUGCUGCCCCAUGGAGCCAGGCCCAGCGCAGCCUGCCCAUGGUGACACCACGGUGAUGGACGCUCGGUGCCCCCCCAUGUCCCAAACCAUCCUCGUUGGGGCUCACUGUGACAGCACCGACGGCCAUUGCCUCCCCUUGUCCCCAAGCACUCCUCCAGGCUCUGCCACACCAGCGCUGGGAGCCAACAGAGGGAUUCCCGGUGGGAUUCCCGGUGGGAACCGGCACCAACCAGCGCCACCACCCCAGGGAUGGGUCCUGGCAGUGCCAUCGGUGCCACAUCUGUGUUUGGUGGCUGCGGAACCGGUGCCAUCCCCACCAGCACCGGUCAAUGCCACCCCAUGGCACAGGGCAAGGGACAGCACCACAGGGACCACAAGGACCCCACAACUCCCUGGUCCCCCCUUGUCCCAGCUCUGCCCUGGGACACCCCUGUUUGUGGUGGGUGACAGCUCAGCCAGGGCCCUGCUCCCUUUGGGGGCUGCAUCGCUUGAGGGACCCCAACCUGCCCCGGGGGGUCCCCGCUUGCCACAAGGUCCCUGCUUGCACCCAGUUCCUGCUCACCCCAUGGGGCUGCAUCACCCCCAUGGGCCACACGUACUUUGGGGUCCCCCCUUGCCCCACGGUGCUGCAUCACUUGAGGGACCCACUUGCUAUAGGGUCCCCACUUGCUGUGGAGUCCCUGCUCACCCCAGGGUGCUCCAUCACCCCCUAACUCCCACUCACUUCGGGUUCCCCCUUGCUUUACGUUGCUGCAUCACCCCCAAGUCCCAACUUACCGUGGGGUCCCCUCUCACCUCAGGGUGCUGGAUCCCUUGGGGGUCCCCCCUCGCUUUGGGGUCCCCCCUCACCUCAGGGUGCUGGAUCCCUUGAGGGUCCCCACUUGCUUUGGGGUCCCCCCUCACCUCAGGGUGCUGGACCCCUUGAGGAUCCCCACUCGCUUUGGGGUCCCCCCUCACCUUAGGCUGCUC
rnacentral:lncRNA from 14 species